rnacentral:rRNA from 1 species
GUAGUCUGNAACCCGACUACAUGAAGCUGGAAUCGCUAGUAAUCGCAGGUCAGCAUACUGCGGUGAAUACGUUCCCGGGUCUUGUACACACCGCCCGUCACACCAUGGGAGCCGGAAAUGCCCGAAGCCAGUGACCCAACCUUAGGGAGGGAGCUGUCGAAGGUGGAGCCGGUAACUGGGGUGAAGUCGUAACAAGGUAAC